UACAGAGGGGGCAAGCGUUAUUCGGAAUUAUUGGGCGUAAAGGGCGCGUAGGCGGCUUUGCAAGUGACGGGUGAAAUCCCUCGGCUUAACCGAGGAACUGCCUGUCAGACUGCAUGGCUUGAGACCAGGAGAGGUGAGUGGAAUUCCCAGUGUAGCGGUGAAAUGCGUAGAUAUUGGGAGGAACACCAGUGGCGAAGGCGAACAUCCUGGACCGGUAUUGACGGCUGAGGCGGCGAAAGCCAGGGGAGCAAACGGG
rnacentral:rRNA from 1 species